UACGUAGGGUGCAAGCGUUGUCCGGAAUUAUUGGGCGUAAAGAGCUCGUAGGCGGUUUGUUGCGUCGGCUGUGAAAUCCCGCGGCUCAACUGCGGGUCUGCAGUCGAUACGGGCAGGCUAGAGUUCGGUAGGGGAGACUGGAAUUCCUGGUGUAGCGGUGAAAUGCGCAGAUAUCAGGAGGAACACCGGUGGCGAAGGCGGCGACCUGGUCCGAUACUGACGCUGAGGCGCGAAAGCGUGGGGGAGCAAACAGG
rnacentral:rRNA from 1 species